rnacentral:rRNA from 1 species
UACGUAGGGUGCGAGCGUUGUUCGGAAUUACUGGGCGUAAAGGGCUCGUAGGCGGCCAACUAAGUCAGACGUGAAAUCCCUCGGCUUAACCGGGGAACUGCGUCUGAUACUGGAUGGCUUGAGAUUGGGAGAGGGAUGCGGAAUUCCAGGUGUAGCGGUGAAAUGCGUAGAUAUCUGGAGGAACACCGGUGGCGAAGGCGGCAUCCUGGACCAACACUGACGCUGAGGAGCGAAAGCCAGGGGAGCAAACGGG